GAUGAACGCUGGCGGCGUGCCUAAUACAUGCAAGUCGAGCGAACAGACGAGGAGCUUGCUCCUCUGACGUUAGCGGCGGACGGGUGAGUAACACGUGGAUAACCUACCUAUAAGACUGGGAUAACUUCGGGAAACCGGAGCUAAUACCGGAUAAUAUAUUGAACCGCAUGGUUCAAUAGUGAAAGACGGUUUUGCUGUCACUUAUAGAUGGAUCCGCGCCGCAUUAGCUAGUUGGUAAGGUAACGGCUUACCAAGGCGACGAUGCGUAGCCGACCUGAGAGGGUGAUCGGCCACACUGGAACUGAGACACGGUCCAGACUCCGACGGGAGGCAGCAGUAGGGAAUCUUCCGCAAUGGGCGAAAGCCUGACGGAGCAACGCCGCGUGAGUGAUGAAGGUCUUCGGAUCGUAAAACUCUGUUAUUAGGGAAGAACAAAUGUGUAAGUAACUAUGCACGUCUUGACGGUACCUAAUCAGAAAGCCACGGCUAACUACGUG
rnacentral:rRNA from 1 species